AAUGAAGUGCCUGACUAAAGGAUUACCUUGAUAGGGUAAAUAAAGUAAAAUUAACUUUUACCUUCAUUA
rnacentral:tRNA from 1 species